UUUUCUCCCCGUGCCAACAAUCUAUUAUCAAUUUUGUCAACCCUCUAAUAUUUUUACUUUAAAAUAACCAAAAUGACAUAUUCAACAAAAAGAGUAGAUUUUUGUGUAUAAUCAUACCUCCUUUCGAUUUUCUUCCAGUACAUAAAUCAAUUUUAUUUGACCACUCGCUGACCGCUUGUAGUUUAGCAACAGAAGACUGACGACGGCAUACAAGAUGUUAAUUGGAAACGUGUGCUAUGGACACUUUUUAAAAUAAGGCGUUUACACUGACCCUUUGGUUUGAAGAAAUUUUAUGUUAGAAAAUGAUUUUUAAGGAAUAAUUCAUUAAAAACAAGUCCUUUAGGAAAAUGUUAGUCAAAAAUCAGGAAAAAUGUCAAUUAAAUUCAAGAAAACCCCGAAAAAUCUGUCAAAUGUUUCUUAACUCGGUAAAGUUCAAACGGAAAACAGCAAAAUUGGGCAAAAAAGCUUUUAUUUGUUAUAGUUCUAAGGUUCUAUGGCUGUUAGCAAUCCAAUUCAAUAUUGUAUAGAAGAUAUUUUCCUUUUCCGAAAAAGUUUAUACAAGAAAAUGUCAAUCUUUAUACCUAAACAAAUCUUCCAAUACUUUUCGUUUACUGGGAAACAAUUUUUUACUGAUCCAAGAAUUGUCUUAUACUCGCUUUUCAAUUUGCAAAUACAAAAAAUAUUGCAUAUUAUUUGAAAAUGGAAAAUUCACAAAUCUAAUAUCUAUCAAAAUUACAAUGGAAUCACAAAAAAGGAUUUUCUCCAUAAAUCCUCCAUACUUAUAAGCUUUUCGCAAUCCGUUAUCUAAAAAAGUAUUCAAAUUGCAAAAAAGUAAGGUUACCUAAAAACUAAAAAAAAAAUAUAAGAAUAAGAAAAACAUGAGGAGGCAACAUACAAAAAAAAUAUAGAUAACAGAGAAGGGAUAAGCUGCUACAUAUUAAAUCGUUGCAAGGCAACGCACACAAUAUUCCUAUAUAGAACCAAGCGAAUUCCUUCAAAGGAUGACGACGUGUUCUUCUGGAAAACAUUAUUUCUCAAGGAUGAUUGAGGAUAUAUGGAAGAAACAUCUCUAUAUGCGAACAUAUUCAUAUUCUAAUGUCAAGAUAUGAUUCAAGAGACAAUAAAAAAAAAAUAUUUAUAUUGGAAUUUUAAUAAGAAAACUGAACAAAAACGACGACUCAGUGAGGUACGAGAGUAGGUGCACACGCUAUUACUUGUGUUGUUUCUUAUUUCUGCAGAAAUUUCAAAAUCGUACAAUUGAAUGUUUUUUAUUUAUUUUUUUUUUAUUCUGGAAUCGACAGGAAUUUAGAAUAAUAUCAAGAUAUAUAUGUACCCCAGAAAGUU